CGGAGGGUGCAAGCGUUAUCCGGAUUUACUGGGUUUAAAGGGUGUGUAGGCGGACAUUUAAGUCAGGGGUGAAAUCCCGAGGCUCAACCUCGGAACUGCCUUUGAUACUAUAUGUCUUGAAUGUUGUUGAGGUGGGCGGAACGGGUCAUGUAGCGGUGAAAUGCAUAGAUAUAACCCGGAACACCGAUUGCGAAGGCAGCCCGCUAAGCAACUAUUGACGCUGAGGCACGAAAGCGUGGGGAUCAAACAGGAUUAGAUACCCUGGUAGUCCACGCCCUAAACGAUGAUUACUCGACGUUGGCGAUACACUGAUCAGCGUCCAAGCGAAAGCAUUAAGUAAUCCACCUGGGAAGUACGUUCGCAAGAAUG
rnacentral:rRNA from 1 species